UACGGAGGGUGCAAGCGUUGUUCGGAAUUAUUGGGCGUAAAGCGCACGUAGGCGGAUUGUUAAGUGAGGGGUGAAAUCCCAGGGCUCAACCCUGGAACUGCCUUUCAUACUGGCAAUCUCGAGUCCGAGAGAGGUGAGUGGAAUUCCGAGUGUAGAGGUGAAAUUCGUAGAUAUUCGGAGGAACACCAGUGGCGAAGGCGGCUCACUGGCUCGGUACUGACGCUGAGGUGCGAAAGCGUGGGGAGCAAACAGG
rnacentral:rRNA from 1 species